GUCUCUAUGGCUCAGUCGGUAGAGCGUUGGUCUCAUAUUACUCAUCAAUAUGACCCGGCUUGCAAGCCCGGGACAUCCAAAGGUCGCAAGUUCGAGCCUUGCUAGGGACA
rnacentral:tRNA from 1 species